GCCCGCUUGGCUAAGUGGUAUAGCGUGUCACUAGUACUUCGACGAAGCAUUCGUCCUACUGAUGCCAUGACAAGAUCAGCGGUUCGAUUCCGCUAGUGGGCA
rnacentral:tRNA from 1 species